rnacentral:sRNA from 1 species
AUUUGUGUUGGCUAUGUCAUCUUCUUCUUCAAAUUUACUAGACGAAGCUCAUCUCUACUGAAUGAAUCCUCUUUUUCCUUCGCUAUAAAUUC